UACAGAGGUCCCAAGCGUUGUUCGGCUUCAUUGGGCGUAAAGGGUGCGUAGGCGGCGCGGUAAGUCGGGUGUGAAAUCUCGGAGCUUAACUCCGAAACUGCAUUCGAUACUGCCGUGCUUGAGGACUGGAGAGGAGACUGGAAUUUACGGUGUAGCGGUGAAAUGCGUAGAUAUCGUAAGGAAGACCAGUGGCGAAGGCGGGUCUCUGGACAGUUCCUGACGCUGAGGCACGAAGGCCAGGGGAGCAAACGGG
rnacentral:rRNA from 1 species